GACUGGAUAGCCUAGUGGAAAAGGUGUCACAUUGACAUUAUGUCUUGGCUUACAUGCUGAGGUCCCAGGUUUGAAUCCUGGUCUAGUCA
rnacentral:tRNA from 1 species